rnacentral:sRNA from 1 species
ACUGAGCAUGGUAGCAUAUACCUGUAGUCCUAGUACUUGGGGAGCCAAAGGUAGGAGGAUCCCUUGAGUCCAGGAGUUUGAGAACAACCUGGGCAACAUAGGGAAAUUCUGUCUCAA